GUGGGGAAUAUUGGGCAAUGGGCGAAAGCCUGACCCAGCAACGCCGCGUGAAGGAAGAAGGUUUUCGGAUCGUAAACUUCUAUCCUUGGUGAAGAUAAUGACGGUAGCCAAGAAGGAAGCCCCGGCUAACUACGUGCCAGCAGCCGCGGUAAUACGUAGGGGGCAAGCGUUGUCCGGAAUGAUUGGGCGUAAAGGGCGCGUAGGCGGCCCGGUAAGUCUGAAGUGAAAGUCCUGCUUUUAAGGUGGGAAUUGGUUUGGAUACUGUCGGGCUUGAGUGCAGGAGAGGUAAGCGGAAUUCCCGGUGUAGCGGUGAAAUGCGUAGAGAUCGGGAGGAACACCAGUGGCGAAGGCGGCUUACUGGACUGUAACUGACGCUGAGGCGCGAAAGUGUGGGGAGCAAACAGGAUUAGAAACCCUGGUAGUCC
rnacentral:rRNA from 1 species